rnacentral:rRNA from 1 species
CCGAACUGGUUGUCGUUGAAAAGACUUCGGAUGACCUGAGGGUAGGGGUGAAAGGCCAAUCAAACUGGGAGAUAGCUCGUACUCCCCGAAAUGCAUUUAGGUGCAGCGUUGCGACAAGUUUAUUAGAGGUAGAGCUACUGAUUGGAUGCGGGGGUUUCAUCGCCUACCAAUUCCUGACAAACUCCGAAUGCUAAUAAAUGAUGUGCGGCAGUGAGGG